AUUCAUCUUACUCUACAAUUCUAUAUACGAAUCCAAAAAAUAUAUAGUAGGGUGGGGGAAGAUGGGACAC
rnacentral:miRNA from 1 species